CACGUAGGCACCAAGCGUUGUCCGGAUUUAUUGGGCGUAAAGAGCUCGUAGGCGGUUCAGUAAGUCGGGUGUGAAAACUCAGGGCUCAACCCUGAGCGGCCACCCGAUACUGCUGUGACUUGAGUCCGGUAGGGGAGUGGGGAAUUCCUGGUGUAGCGGUGAAAUGCGCAGAUAUCAGGAGGAACACCAGUGGCGAAGGCGGCUCACUGGCCCGGUACUGACGCUGAGGUGCGAAAGCGUGGGGAGCAAACAGG
rnacentral:rRNA from 1 species